rnacentral:rRNA from 1 species
AUUGAACGCUGGCGGCAGGCCUAACACAUGCAAGUCGAGCGGAGCGGCGGACGGGUGAGUAAUGCCUAGGAAUCUGCCUGGUCGUGGUGGAUAACGUCCGGAAACGGGCGCUAAUACCGCAUACUAUCAGAUGAGUCUAGGUGGGAUUAGAUAGUUGGUGGGGUAAAGGCCUACCAAGGCGACGAACCGGAUCCGGUCUGAGAGGAUGAUCAGUCACACUGGAACGUGGACACGGUCCAGACGCCUACGGGAGGAAGCAGUGGGGAAUAUUGGACAAUGGGCGAAAGCCUGAUGCAGCCCUGCCGGGUUGUUGAAGAAGGGCUUCGGGUUGUAAAGGACUUUAAGUUGGGAGGCGUUACCAACAGAAUAAGCACCGGCUAACUUCGUGCCAGCAGCCGCGGUAAUUC